UACGGGGGGCAAGCGUUGUUCGGAAUCACUGGGCGUAAAGGGUGCGUAGGCGGCGCGGUAAGUCGGGUGUGAAAUCUCGGAGCUUAACUCCGAAACUGCAUUCGAUACUGCCGUGCUUGAGGACUGGAGAGGAGACUGGAAUUUACGGUGUAGCGGUGAAAUGCGUAGAUAUCGUAAGGAAGACCAGUGGCGAAGGCGGGUCACUGGACCGGUACUGACGCUGAGUGCGCGAAAGCGUGGGGAGCAAACGGG
rnacentral:rRNA from 1 species